rnacentral:rRNA from 1 species
GACGAACGCUGGCGGCGUGCUUAACACAUGCAAGUCGAACGGAAAGGCCCUGCCUUUGUGGGGUGCUCGAGUGGCGAACGGGUGAGUAACACGUGAGUAACCUGCCCUUGACUUUGGGAUAACUUCAGGAAACUGGGGCUAAUACCGGAUAGGAGCUCCUGCUGCAUGGUGGGGGUUGGAAAGUUUCGGCUGUUGGGGAUGGACUCGCGGCUUAUCAGCUUGUUGGUGGGGUAGUGGCUUACCAAGGCUUUGACGGGUAGCCGGCCUGAGAGGGUGACCGGCCACAUUGGGACUGAGAUACGGACCAGAGUCCUACGGGAGGCAGCAGUGGGGAAUAUUGCACAAUGGGCGGAAGCCUGAUGCAGCAACGCCGCGUGCGGGAUGACGGCCUGCGGGUUGUAAAACGCUUUAGCCUGUGACGAAGCGUGAGUGACGGUAAUGGGUAAAGAAGCACCGGCUAACUACGUG